rnacentral:rRNA from 1 species
CUGCUCCUAGUACGAGAGGACCGGAGUGGACAGACCUCUGGUGUGCCAGUUGUUCCGCCAGGAGCAUCGCUGGGUAGCCACGUUUGGCAGGGAUAACCGCUGAAAGCAUCUAAGCGGGAAGCUCGCCUCAAGAUAAGAUUCCUCAUCCCGUUAAGGGAGUAAGACCGCAAGAAGACUACUUGCUUAAUAGGCAGCAUGUGUAAGCACAGCAAUGUGUUCAGCUAAGCUGUACUAAUGGUCGAGGGCUUAACUUC